AAGACUAUACUUGUAGGGAUCACUUGUAUUGUUUACUAGAGAAGUUUUUCUGACGGUCUGGAGCACUGAAAGCCAUGGGGGGAGGCACAGGGUUCCCUCCUGAGUGUUAAACCGGCUCCUGUUGUUCCACUGCAAGGCCGUUUGCCAUUGAUGAGCCCUUGAUUAUUGUUGCUCUUCCUUUGGGAGAGAGAGGGAGUGAUGCAGUCUGAGCGGC